rnacentral:lncRNA from 1 species
ACGCUCAAAAAAAAAUCUCUAAUAGACGAAUUAGAUGACUAUGACGAUGAAUGUUUUUUAGAUGAUACCAAUUUGAACAUUUCUUACAAUAACAAGAAUAGUCAUAGUAAUAAUAAUCAUAGUAAGAAUAGCCAUAGGAAUAGUAGCCAUAGGAAUAGUAACCAUAGGAAUAGUAACAUUAGUGAUAAUAAUGAUGAGAAUAUAUGUAAUAAUUAUGUUAAUAAAAAAUUAACAAAUCGUUAUAAUGAUGGAAAAGAAAAUUUAGAAGAUUAUAAUAUAACUAAUGAGAGUAAUAAAAAUAAAUCAAUUUUUAUCGAUGAUAUAGAAAGUAUAACAUACAUUGAUAAUAAUAAUAUAAAUAAUAAUGGGAAUGUAAAUGAUAAUAAAUUGAACAUUACUCCUAAUACUAGUAUUGAUAAUAAUAGCCAAUUAAAAGCUAGAAUAAGAGAAUCAUUAUAUAAUAAUAAUCCUAACUUAGAUUAUCAACUUAAACAAUCUAAUUUAAAAUUAGAAGAUGUGUUACAUGAAAAUGAUUAUUCGAUUAAAUUAAGUAAAUUAAAAAGACAUGUAGUUAUAGAAAUAUUUGGUGGUAAAUGUUUUAUAAGAGAAUAUUUAUGUACUGAUUUUUUAAAAAGAGUAAAACAAUGUUGUCAAUUAAAUUAUGUAAAACAUAAAAGUGGUAUAAUAAAUUAUCGUGAUUGUAAACAAUUAUUAGCUGAAAAUAAUAAUAUUGCUAGUAUUGAAGCUCGAUUAAAUACAAUAUUAAUAUCUUUACCUCCAUUAACAUGUAUUAUUUUACAUUCAAUUGUGUUUCUAGUAGUUAAAGAAGAUUUAAUAAGAGAUGAUUUAAUAAAAAGAUUAUGUAACGUUUCUAAAAGAUAUACUGGUUUAUAUCAAAUCGAUGUUAAAACAAUGGAAAAAAAACCUUUCGAAUUUUGUGCUUUAGAAUGUGUUUUCUCUAGUGUUAUCGAACAUUUAAAUGCUGAAAUGAAAAUAUUAAGCACAAAUUUCAAUGAAAUAAAAAUUACGUUUAAAGCUAAAAAGUAUCAAGAUAUAUUGACAAAUUUACAUAAUUUAAAAGAACCAGCUAAUUUUUUAUUAAAUAAAAUUAAUUCUUUUAUUAAAGCUUUUCAUGAAGUUUCAGGAAAUAAUAUAGAUUUAAAAAAAUGGAAUUAA